CGUUAAGACCAGGGUUGCGGCAAAGGGGAGGCUGUCAGCAGAAAAGAGACAAAGAGAGACAAAGAGAGAGAUAAUGCCAUUAGCCUAAAGAGCAAAUAAGACCGACAGGAGUAUUGAAUGAACAGACACACAAAUAUGGAGAGACAGAGAGAGAGAGGGAGAGGCGGGGAGAGAGAAAAAGAGAGAAAGGGAGAGAGGGAGAGAGAAAGGCACAACUACGACAACAUAACCAAGAAAAACAGGUCACAACUCCUGCAGCUCUGUCGCACGCUGGGUGUGUAUACAGCCAAUGGUAGGCUUCGAGGGGACUCCUAUGGUGGAAACUCAAACAGGAUAUACCUGUGAUAAGGACUGUUCAACGCUGGUCUGACCAAUUGGAAUCCACUACUUGAAGAUUGUUUUGAUCACGCGGACUGGGACAUGUUCCGGGACGCCUCAGAGAAUUUUAUCGAUUUAUACGCUGAUUCGGUGAGUGAUUUUAUAAGGAAGUGCAUAGGAGAUGUUGUACCCACUGUGACUAUUAAAACCUACCCAAACCAGAAACCGUGGAUAGAUAGGGGCAUUCGCGCAAAAGGUGACUAGGAAUAUGGCCGAAUAUACUGUAAACAAUGUAGUUAUUCCCUCCGCAAUGCAAUCAAACAACGUCCAGUGUGUCUCAGUUGGUAGAGCAUGGCGCUUGCAACGCCAGGGUUGUGGGUUUGAUUCCCACGGGGGGCCAGUACAAAAAAGUAUGAAUGUAUGUACUUGUAAGUCGCUCUGGAUAAGAGCGUCUGCUAAAUGACUUAAAUGUAAUGUAAAGGUAAACAAGCAAAAUGUCAGUAUAGAGACAAAGUGGAGUCGCAAAUCAAAGGCUCAGACACGAGACGUAUGUGGCAGGGUCUACAGACAAUCACGGACUGCAAAAAUAAAACCAGCCACGUCAUGGACACCGAUGUCUUGCAAACAAAACACCUUCUUUGCCCGCUUUGAGGAUAAUACAGUGCCACCAACGCGGCCCGCUACCAAGGACUGUGGGCUCUCCUUCUCCGUGGCUGACGUGAGGAAGACAUUUAAAUGUGUUAAUCCUCGCAAGGCUGCCGGCCCAGACGGUAUCCCUAGCCGCGUCCUCAGAGCAUGCGCAGACCAGCUGGCCGGUGUGUUUACGGACAUAUUCAGUCUCUCCCUAUCGCAGUCUGCUGUCCCCACAUGCUUCAAGAUGGCCACCAUUGUUCCUGUACCCAAGAAGCAAAGGUAACUGAACUAAAUGGCAAAUCUCCCCGUAGCACUCACCUUAAUGGUAAGGUCUACACUUGUUUAAAAAAAAAGGUCUACACUUUUUUUUAAGGUCUACACUUGUAUUAAGCGCAUGUGACAAAUAAAGUAUGAUUAUAUUU